CGCUCCUUCUGAGGAGGAGGUAAUCUAUCUGAGUACUUGCCGCCGAACUCUUGAAGGUGACCAAAUGCUCCUCCCUCUUCUGAAAUGUCGAGUUCGCAAUCAGAAUCUCGGAAGCCCUGGCGAAAUCAAGCAGUGACGUGCCUCCUCCGUUCCUAACCCCAAAGCCAAAGCCACCGUUCACCUCACCAUAACCACCAACAUCAGCCCCAAUAUGACCAUUAAAGUCCUCCAAUAACUAACUUCUCAGAUUGGGGAAUGCUACUCACCAAAUCAUCCAAGCCCUCCCAAAAGGGCCUCUUAGCCUCCUCGUCUAAGUCCGCUUGUGGCGCGUAAACGCUGAUGACGUUGAGGACGCAACCCCCAAUAACCAACUUAAUAGACCUUAACCUAUCAUUUACUCGCCUAACCUCGACCACAGACUCCCUUAGAUCCCUCCCACCAAGAUUCCCACUCCAUUCUUACCUCUCACGACCCCAUAAUACCACAGCUUAGACCCGUCUACAUUCCUCUCCUUCGACCCUUUCCACCUAGUCUCCUGGACACAGGCUAUGUUUACCCUCCUCUUCUGAAGAA
rnacentral:lncRNA from 1 species